UCAUAUUUCUUAUGGGCACAGGCUGGGGAAGAAGGAACAGCAUGUCACCCCAAUCAAGCUUUUGGUCUUCUGACACUACAAAGGCUUGGCCGUAGCCUUCAAUGUUAUUUGGUAGCUGUGCACAAGCCAUCUUCUCCUCCAGUGGCAACUCAAAGAACUCCUAUUAGGUACCUGGAAGAAGCCCCAGUCUUUGCAAGCCCAAUGGAGUUUUUCCAGUUCAUCAGCAUGGCCAAGCUUGCUCAUGUCAAUCACUGGGAUCCCAAGGGAUUCAUCGAGAGCAAUCACAUCGAACUCAACCUCUGGCCUAAUGUACCUGGAUGGGAUGUCUUUCAGGUUCUUGGAUGCAAGAGCUUGGACAUUCUCAACAGGAGUUGAGAAAUCAAGCGGUGCAAUCGCAUUGUCCCUUCCAGAACUCGGGCAUAUGGACCUGUAUGGCUACCUGUUAACAAUUAGCACUCGAAAAAUGGUAAUGUGCGAGGAAGCUAAAAUUGGAAUUCUAUAUAAAGCAUGAAGAUUUGAGCUGAAAGGAAGGGCAUACGUGAAAGAUUGAGAAAGUUACCUGACAAAGCAACCAAGUCUUCUAUGUCAAGACCCUGUUCGUUGAAGUUGGCAAUGAGAGU